CAGACUUGGCUCUCUCACCGGUUAGGUGUGUGACUCAGGCGUGUUACUGCUCUCUUUGGCCUUAGAUGUCCUUCUACCAAGAUGAGAAAGUCAGACUGGGUUUGCUCUUUCUGCUCUAAUAUUUGGGCUUCCCAGAAGGUCAGGAAAAUUUAUUGUGGGUGGCUGUCUUGUAGAGAUUUUCCAUUUGCCAUUUGCACUAGCUCAACUAUAUGGUAGCAGUCUCAGGCAGGAUGUUCCAGUACAGUGUGUACACUGGUGAGACAUGGUAAGGCAGUGCUCCCUGUGAAACCCACCAUACUUUCUUCCAAAGAAGGAGAACCAGGCUUCCUCAAUCUUCAGUGGCCCUGAACUCAUCACCAUCACCAUUAUUAUCAUAGAGGUAGUGAACAUUUACUAAAUACUUUACACAUAUUAAUUCAUGUGACCCUCACUGCCACCCCAUAAGGUGGAUGCCAUUAUUAUCCUCACAUUGUAGAUGAGGAAACAAGACACAAGAAAGUAACCAGGUGGGGGGUUGGGGGAAGUCACACAUCUGCUUCGUGGAAUGGGCUUUGAUCACAAUGGUUAGAAUUCCAAGGUUGCCUCUUUGCCACCGGCUCUAUCUGGUAAACCAGUAAAUCAUUGGGCCUCAGGCUGCAGGACAUGUAAUGGAGAAGUGGGGCUGUCCAGGGGUUAGGCAUGCUGAAUUCAUCUGGGGGCCAUUGCACAACUGCUCCAGUCUGGUGGGAACUUGGAGGAUCAAGUGAGAGCACUGUGUUGAGGAGGACCAGGAGAAGGAGGAGAGAGCCUUAUUGCUGAAAGGGCACAUCGAAUCAUCACCAGUCUCCUUGCUGUCAUUCUCACACAGCCUCUAUAUCAUGAGUAAUGCGGGAAGUGCCUGAUACCUUCUGCUAAUCUCAGUGAAGAUUUCUGAGGAGGAAGGAGACUGUCCAUUCUGGAAGAUGAACAGUACAGACAGUGACAUAUUGGAGUUCGGAGAAACCAGCAAACUUUUGGAAGCUUCUGUACAGACAACCUGCCAGUAUGUCAGAUCUGAAGAGACCAGGAACUCUUGCAGUGUCUUGGCUCCUCCAGACCCAUCUUCAUCAUCCUCUCGCCUGCUCUGUGCUCAGGAGACUGACCAGUAUGGACCACAUCAGUGGGUUCCCUUGUCUUCUGAGUUCUGGGAGGUACACCCUUUCCUCCAGUCUUUGGAUCUGGGCUGGCCUGGUGAUGUGCUUUGGCCAAUGAAUGUGGCACAAGUUAUGAAGAGACAGUUCCAAGCUUUUAUUCACUCUCUUUUGGGACCUUGCCCAGCCCCUGUGUAAACAAGCUGAGGCUAGCCUGCCAGAGGAUGAGAAACCAUGUAGAGUGGAGACACAUCAUUGCAACUGAGGCCAUCCUAGAUCAGAAGAACUGCCAACCUGCAGGUCAAAAAGAGGACAAGUUUGGACUACAAUGAUCCAUGGCAACACUGGACUUGAUCAAGUGGAUGGUCCUUGCAUCAGCUUUCCCAGCCUGUGUCCUGAUAAUGAUGCCACUUCCAGUUUGCAGCAUCUAAUGAGCCGAAUUGUCUGCUACCACUUGGAAGGGACUCUGUGACACUCUGCUCCCAAUGGAGAACUGUGUGAUCUAGUGUGUAGACAAUGUUCCAUGUGGCUACUGAGCACUUGAAAUAUAACUACUCCAGUUUGAGAUACGCUUGACUGCAGCAGAGGAGUGGCAUGGACCAUCUGCAGCCACCUACCACUUGCUUCCAGGGAAGAUGAAGGCCUUGGCCACGGUCCACUUCAGCUUCCCAACAAUCCUGACGAAGAACUGUUGACCUACAUCUUGUGUGUCCUGGAUGGCCAGAGCUGGACUGGGCACAGAACUCCAUAACCAUGGCAACAGCAUUACCUGCCUGGGUCAUGGUGUGGUACCAUGUUGGGCCAGAAUGGCAGAUGUCAGAGAGAGGCACCAUGCCCCAGGAAGGUGCUACCAUUUGUCUGAAGAAAUCCCUCUUCUCAGGACAGCAAAUAGCUUAUUUUGCCACUUCACAUGAGCCCUCCCUUUCCCAGUUCAUUAAAAAAUAAGAAUGACCACAAUUUGUCAAACACCUACUAGGUGUCAGACAUUGUGCAAGCUUUUUUUUCUGAUUCAUAUUACAAGUCUUUGAGGUGGGUAUUUUCCCCCCAUUUAUAGUGAGGAAAGAAGCUCAGAGAGAAUUACCCUACCCACUAACACAGGAAGCAGCAGGCUGGAAUGAAGCCAGGUAUGCUCAGAAACCAAAGCCAGGCUCUCCCUCACUGGCCAGACUGUUCCCCAACCCCAGAGAAGACAGUCACACUUGGUCCUCAAAGCCUUGAGUCUAAUUUGGCACCAUGUUCAUUUAAUAAUUGCCUUUUUCCUCUUGCCCCUUUUCCGUCUCUCUCUCUCCUGGGGUUGCCAGAUCAUUUGACAGUUUUUACAUCAGCACCAGAGGCUGUGAUGAGGAGCAUAGUGUACCUUGGUGGAAUGAAGAAGCUGCAGAGCCAAGGAGUAAAGUUUGAGCAAGUUAGUGCAGGGGUCCAGCCUGUGGGCAUAGCUUUCCACCUCUGCCUCUGCUAUAGCCCCAUCUGGAGCAUGGAUUCCUGGGGUUGAACUAUCAGCAGCACACCAAUGGCUAUCUCGGUUCAAAGCCCCAGCAAAAGCAGUGUGUCGGAAAUGGCAAGAGGUUGGCUACAGAACUAGGCAGAUCUGGACUUUAGGUUUGGCUCUGUGGCUCAAGAGCAGUGUGGCUUGGGGCAAGUUGCCUCAGGUACCUGAGCCUCAGCUUCCUCUUUUGUGAAAAAU